AAAUGACUCUCGGCAACGGAUAUCUCGGCUCUCGCAUCGAUGAAGAACGUAGCAAAAUGCGAUACGUGGUGUGAAUUGCAGAAUUCCGUGAACCAUCGAGUUUUUGAACGCAAGUUGCGCCCAAUGUCAUUUGGCUGAGGGCACGUCUGCCUGGGUGUCACGC
rnacentral:rRNA from 1 species